UACAGAGGGGGCAAGCGUUGUUCGGAAUUACUGGGCGUAAAGGGCGCGUAGGCGGCCUGCUAAGUCGAACGUGAAAUCCCCGGGCUCAACCCGGGAACUGCGUCCGAUACUGGUUGGCUUGAAUCCGGGAGAGGGAUGUGGAAUUCCAGGUGUAGCGGUGAAAUGCGUAGAUAUCUGGAGGAACACCGGUGGCGAAGGCGGCAUCCUGGACCGGUAUUGACGCUGAGGCGCGAAAGCCAGGGGAGCAAACGGG
rnacentral:rRNA from 1 species